ACGAGCGUGCCGCUGGUUCGAAAAUUGUGUGUUGAUAAGCAUUGUCUAACGUAAUACGAUUACUGGGUGUUUGGUGUCGGAACCAGCUAAACUUCCGCGCCGAUUUGUUCCCCGUUCGUGAAAGGGCAUCACACUUCACGAAGCGACUGACGGAAGCUGGCCGCCAUGGAUACACCGGAGCCGCGUCACUCCAGCAGUCGGCACAGUGACCUGAUGGAGCGCACACUGCAGCGGCUGGACGAGGCCAUCCAGAGUCCGUCGGCCAUCCUCAGGACGCGCCGCUCCGUCUCCGGCCGGCCCACCAGCCGGCGCUCACUGGUGUCCAGGCGAAGCGGCCUGGCGGAUGACCUGACUAUGGACCUGACUUCAACCGCGGUCGGCCUCCGCCAGAGUG